GGAGGCGUGCCAGAGCGGCCGAAUGGGGCGGUUUCGAAAACCGCUAUGCCCAAAAGGCAUCGGGGGUUCGAAUCCUCCCGCCUC
rnacentral:tRNA from 1 species